GAUGAACGCUAGCGGCAGGCCUAAUACAUGCAAGUCGAACGGUGUAGCAAUACACAGUGGCGCACGGGAGCGUAACACGUAUGCAACCUACAUUACAUUGGGGGAUAGCCGGUCGACAGGGAGAUUAGUACAGCAUAAGACAGUAACUAGGCAUCUAGUAGCUGUUAAAGAUUUAUCGAUGUAAGCUGGGCAUGCGUCCAAUUAGUUAGUUGGCGAGGUAAUGGCUCACCAAGACGAUGAUUGGUAGGGGAACUGAGAGGUCAAUCCCCCACACUGGCACUGAGAUACGGGCCAGACUCCUACGGGAGGCAGCAGUAGGGAAUAUUGGGCAAUGGGCGAAAGCCUGACCCAGCCAUGCCGCGUGCAGGAAGAAGGCGUUAUGCGUUGUAAACUGCUUUUAUACAGGAAGAAACGACCCUUGCGAGGGGCAUUGACGGUACUGUAUGAAUAAGCACCGGCUAACUCCGUGCCAGCAGCCGCCGUAACAC
rnacentral:rRNA from 1 species